CGCCCUGGAAGCGGUCUGGACUCUCUGUACCCGCAGCGGCCGAGAGAUAGCUCGGGUGCCGGGUCCCAGCCUUUUCUGGGAGGGGAAGGGGAAGGGGAAGAAGACGCGAGAGGGUUCCGACCACUCUCCGCCGUGUGGGACGGAACCUCUGCCCCGCCCACCGCUGCUACGCAACCCGGCGGAAGCCCGUCACCAAACUCCGCCUCUUUGUUUAACUCCGUCCUGGACUAGAAACCACGAGCAGCCAACGAGGAGAGUGAAGGCUAGCCAGGCCUCCGCUCUAGACCGGAAGUCUUUAUGGUUCCAGGGAGAACUAGAUAGCCAUUUGGGAGGGAGGACUCUAUGUUCUUCCCAGCGUGAACAUCAGGGGCUGAGCUGGAGGCCGAUUCUCCAGGAGCGCGAGACUUCGCUUUGGAGGGGUGCACGUGUUCGUGCUCUAAAGCUGAUGCGACUUGGUGCGAGAUCGUCGCUAGUAGGCUGGCCUGCAGUGACCUGCCGUCUCCCCGGCCCCUCUCCCGUUUCCAGAGCCGUGGUACAACACCGUGGCUGGGGGUGUGGGUGGGAGAGAACCUGAGCUCCGAGGAAAGUCAAGGUGGAGCCUAAAGCCCUCUAGAAGAAGGUAAGGGAUUGAUUAAGCAAACCAAGGUAUUACAAUUGCAUGGCCUCUUAGGCUAAUCUGAUAAUAAGCAGUAUUUUUUACCGAUGUUCGCCAGGCAAAUGGUAACGCACAUGUAUGUACAUUGUUUAUAUAUAUAAUUGGUUUAUACGCAAUACUACAGAGCUGGCUACAUUUUGUUGACUAUGUAUCAAGUCUCAAAGGGAGCUAAAGGUUCCGGCCUCUUCUUUUUAGUCCUCUGAGGAUCCUGAGGUCUAGGGAUUGAGUACUUCAGGAACAGUUGCCUUUCGGACUGUGAGAGGAACUGAGGCUCUCUGAGCCCCAGAUUCCAUUAUUUCCAAGGGGUAAGGAGUGAGGCUGCCAAUUGUCUGUCUCUGGUGUGAAUGCUACUUUUUCCAGAGAUCUUGACCAAGCUGGUUACUGCAUUAAACUUGAGGGCCCCAAAUCAGAAAUAAAGAUGAGGGUUAGAGCA
rnacentral:lncRNA from 1 species